rnacentral:lncRNA from 1 species
CCUUGUGUGCUUCUUCAAUCUCCAUAGCUACUCAGGUAUACUCUAUUACAAUUGAUAUUCAUCUUUGUGGGUUCAUUCCCCCCUUUUUGGUUUUUGCCCUAGACCUUCAUUCCUUGCAAUUAGAUUUAGAUCUCAUCUCAUACAAAUUAAGCUUAAACAAAUCAUGUGUCCUGUCACCCACUAUUCAUCAUCAACACUCUCUUCAAAGUGAGUAAAAAAGAAAAAAAGUUUUGAUCUUUUCUUCAUUUUGUCUUCUGUGUCUCUGCCCAUCUCCUUCUGUUUCUCCAUUUUGUUAACUUCUCUCAUUCCCUCUCUCAGGAAUUACUGCUGUAGCUCUGUACCUUGAGACAACACAACAACAUUACGGCGGCUGGUUUUGCUGCAAUUCCAAUUCAGUGUUUCUCCUGAGAGGAUUAUGAGGUGACCAUCUUUCAGAACUCAACCAUGUUUAUUCUUUUGCCCUAGGCCCUUUACUGACGAUUCACUCGUUUUUGUUUGAUUGUUUUGGUUUUGGGGUUUCAGGAUUUGCGGCAUGGGUCAGCUUGGUUCUCCUGUGGGUGUCUUUCUUCUUCACUUCCGGUGAAAAAGAUGAGAGCUUUCCUUCCUCACUGAACCUGGCUGCUCUUGUUGUUGUUGCUGUUUCUCUCCUGUUGUGUUGUUUGGCAUUGAUUAGGGAUUCAGAAAGGGGAAUUUUAAUUUGGUUUAGGGGGAAAAAGGGAC